AGACACGUCUCCCAGUGUUGUCGCGGCCUGCUAGGGCUCUCAGAACUCCCGCGAGGGUGCGGGUCUUCCUCCAGCGCUGGGCUACUUGGUCCCGCCCCUCAAGGGUUCACUACUAUUUUCCGCGUUGCUCUCAAUACCUCGUGGAUCUCUGCUUCUCUAAGUCUGAAACCACACUAGAAACAGCUGUUUUGUUUGGUGAGCCCCUACAUGGAUGUUUCCUUCCAGUUAAGGGGAGCCGGAUUCGGACCUUGGCGACAAACAGACGCCGGGGAACCCUCCGGUCCCACUGGCCACGUGCUCCAGGCUGACUCAUUCCUCCCCCCACCCCGCUCAAGGCUAGGAACAUACCUGCGCUAAGAACUGAGGCAGCUGCACUUCCGCAGACGUAAGAGACGAACUCCUGGGGCUCAAGGUCGGCUGGGGUUGGGUUCCUGUCGCCGCACGCGUGGCCCGCCCGAAACCCGCUACAAAGUAGUGGCGCGUCAGCCCUGGGGAAGCAAAGCGCAAAAUUGUUACGGUGCCCAGACCUGCGCCGGGAACCUCCGGCUGUUUCGCUGGGCGCGGCGCCUGUGCCUCGCGCAGCCCCGGGACGGGCACGGCCGCCCGCCCCCCGGGCCGCCGAGAGCUGCUCUACCCCUCCGUUCUGGCCGCCGGGAGCAGAGGAGCUCGAGGCGGGCAAAGCUCGUGGGGACACCGGGCGAGCCCAGCCCCUGAUCGGACCCGCGGGCCGGCCGGGCGCCCUCCCCGCGGGAGACCGAAAGCCGAAGACUGGAGAUGCACUCACCACGCAACUCCAGCUGACAAAGAGGCCUGCGACCUGCGACGGGCGCACAAACCAGAGAGGCGGCGCGGGGCGGGGAGGGAAGCAGGAGGGUCGCGGGGCCCGCAGCCAAUCCCGGGAAGACUCUGGGCAAGGGCGGGGCGCGCAGCCGAUCCCUGGAGAGUUCGGGGAGCUCAGCCAAUCCCGGGAAGAUCCUGAGCGGGGCGGGGUGGAGGGCCGCGGCACGCACAGCCAAUCCCGGAUGGGGUGGGACGGGCCCGGCCAUUGGCUGUGGGUGUCCGGGGCCGGCCUAGGUGUGGCUCAUGCGGUAGCACGGGGAUAAGCCAUGUCUGCGCGCGGAGCAUCCUUCUCUGAAUUAGAUUUUUCAGGCUACCUACCAAUCCCCGGCGUUGGUGAUUUUGGCGCUCUUGGGCCCUAGACCCUUCCUCGGGUGCCCUUCUGGAGAGGGCAUCGAGGUUACUCCAGGGUUGGCCUAAGGCCCUGAGAUUCCCUUUCCUAAAGCCACACUAAUCCGGUGUGUGUUCAUCAUCUGUGUCCGCCUAAACCGUAAGCUUAAAGAGAAGCCACGACCAUGUCUUGUUCAACAAACUCACUCCCGUGGCCUCUCCUAAAGCUAGAAGGACGACCUCCUUUCCUCAUGCUCCCUCUUUAUUCAUUUACAGAGUCCAAUAAGUAGACCAUAAUCAGUUGGAGGGUAGGAGUUGGGGAGGUUGAGAAGGCAACCAUAGCAAUCUCAAGGUAACAGGCUCAAACUUGGCAAACAAAUAAGUAGAAGAAAAUUGGAGUAUAUGCUAAAAGGAGAACUUCUAUUGCUGUUUCACGUACUUACCAUCUGCUAACAAAUCUAAUCCUCAAAAUAUAUUUAAUCAUCUCCAAAUUAUAGAUGGGGAAAUAAUUAUGUUAUGUAACUUGCCCAAAGUCACAGAGCAGCUAGCCAGUGGUAGAUCCAGGAUUUGAACUCAAGCAGCCUGAAGGCAGAGCCCCUCAAACAACAUGCUACCUAGCCUUUCCCCAGGUAUUGGGGGUGGAGCAGGAAGGGAAACCAAAAAAUAGCCUACACUUGGUUAACAGAUCAAGACAGGCAGCUCUGGUGGGGUGUGGCUUUGUAAACAGAAAGAACAACUCGUCCAGAGCCCCAAGGUAAAACAGGAAAGGGCUUUACCUGUUUAAGGACUCCCAGAAAUGGAACUUAAGGAGCAGAGUGGCCUGAGAUGAGAAUGGCUUGGGGCCAGACCAUGCAGGAAACCCUGGAAGAGUUGUUUUGUUUUGUUUUGUUUUUGAGAUGGAGUCUCGCUCUGUUGCCCAGACUGGAGUGUAGUGGCACGAUCUUGGCUCACUGCAGCCUCCGCCUCCCAAGUUCAAACUAUUCUCGUCUCGGCCUCCCGGGUAGUUGGGAUUACAGGCAUGCACCACCAUGCCUGGUUAAUUUUUGUAUUUGUGAAAGAGUUUAUACUUUGUGCUAAGAAUGAUGGAAAGCUG